GUUUUAGACAAAGUAACCAUAGAAGACGCUAUAAAUAUGAAUGAGAUAACAAUGGUUGUCAAACAAGUUAGUUCCUGUUGACUUAUGAGUGAUAAGAGAUCUUUGAGAUUGCUUUUGGAUAUGGAAUUUGAAAUUUAAAAAUUUAAAUUUGAGUAUUUAGUUUAAAAUAUACGCAGAUUAAGAUUUAAGCUUGUUGGAAGGGGGGAAAAUGCGUCAAAUGGAUCUUAAGAGUCUGUAUUUGAAAUCACACUCUUUAAGUGGUUGGUUAAAGUUCAUACUUGAAUAAUUUUUAAUCCACAUUCAUGUAUUGGGAAUUUUAUUCAAGUAUUUUAAACUAAAACACCAGGUGUAAUGUGUUUCAAAAAAAAAACACCAGGUGUAAAUUCCAUUAUAUCUGCCACAUCCAAAUGCAAUGUGAGAUGAUCUGAAGAAUAUAGAAAAAAAAUGAAGUCAGUGCUGCUCUUUAGGGAUUGUACAAGGAGGGGGUUCAUGUAAUGAAAUGGUAUUGUUGCAUCAACCAUCAAGUAAUGAAAGAUAGAAUUUGAGAGACAUGAGAAGAGGGGAAUCUUUAGUGAGCUUAAAUGCUGUGAGGUAGGCGAGGAGAAUUGCAGAACGAUGCGUGUGUAAUGUAGGAUUCUCAUUUGUAAGGAAAUAUUCUAGGUCAGGCAAAUGGUGGCAUAAAGAAAAGGUAUGGAAUUGAUGUUGUUGUGGAACUCCUGGAUAUUGGGCUUGACUGGGUUGAGGAUCUCCUGAAAAUCAAAUAAUGGUUGAGGGUCGGUGGUGGUUGUUAACCAUUCCGACGCUCAAGUUAGUAACUCAAUUGUGGUUAGAAUAUCCGUAUGAUGAGAGUGAACUUUGUUUGCAUACUUGUUUCUGAUGCUUGACCUUGUUUGAUAUAGUGAUUGGGAUGGUAACUAUAUGAGAUCUUGGCUGGAUAUUCGCUGAUCCUCUAUUUAAGUUGUAAUAGUAACUAUUUUAAAAUUAUGCUGAGAAUUAGGCAUAAUCAGUAGCGUGAUCUUUGUUUAGCCCGAGUUCAAUGAGAGCGCCGAACUCUAAUCUAUCCGAUCUCUUUAGAAUGGAGCGGAAUGAUAUUAGAGUUCUCCUUGGUGUUCGGUCUCCUAGGGUGUUAGGCUAUGAGAUCGGAAGGACCGAGCUUUGCCUGGCUCCGAGCUCGGAUAGGCGGCCCGCCCGGUUCAAGCUCAGGUGGACGACCUCUAACUGGGUCGGUUUUACUAGCCUUUUAUAUCAGGAACCUUAAGGAUUUCUCAAGAAGAAAGUCUGCAGGGAGAUUCAAGAAAAGAAAAAAGGUAUAAAGUCCAAAAUGAGUUGAAUGUCCCUAAAAGAAGAGGGGCAAGUGAUUGAAUUGCACAAGGACGGCCAUCAUCUAAUUGAAUGACACCUCACUCAAUGCCAAUGUCAUAACAUUACUUAAGAGUUCUUGUGGCUAAUAUUCUACUAGGAACAUAUUUCUUUGAAUGAUGAGUCCCCUGCAAAUAUUACAUGUAGCAACUGAUGAGUUGUUUUGACAUUUCUCAUUCACUGAAAUUGGCGUGUCUUCUUUUGGCCUAUUGUGUUGAUUAAACCUCUUGGGACCUGUAGAAUAGCAUAUCAUUACCAUCGCUUGCGAUAUCAUAGUUCACUAUUUAGACAAUUAUGUCCUUGAUUAUUUCUUUUUACUGUCAGUAUGCCAACCUUCUGGUUGUUCUUGCUCAACCGUGAAUUGAUAAUUUGAUAUGAUAGUGGGUUAACUUGUUAUGCUCUCACAUAUUAUCCAAUGCAUGAUAUUUUUCUGUACUGAACUUACUUUUGAUUGUCACA
rnacentral:misc_RNA from 1 species